rnacentral:rRNA from 1 species
AGUCUGGUGCCAGCAGCCGCGGUAAUUCCAGCCCCAGUAGCGUAUAUUAAAGUUGUUGCAGUUAAAAAGCUCGUAGUUUGACUUCUGGCCUGAGACGCCUGGCCCGCCGAGGUUACUCGUGUGAGUGCCGGUGUGUCUCUGCCAUCCUUCUGGAGAACGGUGCUACCCUUUAUUGGGCCGGUGCCGCCAUCUAGAUCCUUUACUUUGAAAAAAUUAGAGUGUUUAAAGCAGGCUUGCGCUAUGAAUACAUUAGCAUGGAAUAAUAAUAUAGGACUUUGUUUCUAUUUUGUUGGUUUCUAGAAAUGAAGUAAUGAUUGAUAGGGAUAGUUGGGGGUGCUAGUAUUCAGUGGCCAGAGGUGAAAUUCUUGGAUUCACUGAGGACUAACUUCUGCGAAAGCAUUCACCAAGGAUGUCUUCUUUAAUCAAGAACGAAAGUUGGGGGAUCGAAGACGAUCAGAUACCGUCGUAGUCUCAACCAUAAACUAUGCCGACUAGGGAUUGGUGAACGUUGCAUUUUCGACUUCAUCAGCACCUUAUGAGAAAUCAAAGUUUUUGGGUUCCGGGGGGAGUAUGGUCGCAAGGCUGAAACUUAAAGGAAUUGACGGAAGGGCACCACCAGGAUUGGAGCCUGCGGCUUAAUUUGACCCAACACGGGAAAACUUACCAGGUCCAGACAUAGUGAGGAUUGACAGAUUGAAGAUCUUUCUUGAUUCUAUGGGUGGUGGUGCAUGGCCGUUCUUAGUUGGUGGAGCGAUCUGUCUGGUUAAUUCCGUUAACGAACGAGACCUCGACCUGCUAAAUAGUUUGGCGAAUCCUUCGGGAUUCGUACAGACUUCUUAGAGGGACUAUCGGUGUGUAGCCGAUGGAAGUUCGAGGCAAUAACAGGUCUGUGAUGCCCUUAGAUGUUCUGGGCCGCACGCGCGCUACACUGACACGUUCAUCGAGCUUACAACCUUUUCUGAGAGGAAUGGGUAAUCUUUUCAAAUCGUGUCGUGCUGGGGAUAGAUUAUUGCAAUUUUUAAUCUUCAACGAGGAAUUCCUAGUAAACGCGAGUCAUCAGCUCGCAUUGAUUACGUCCCUGCCCUUUGUACACACCGCCCGUCGCUACUACCGAUUGAAUGGCUUAGUGAGUCCCACGGACUGUUGGCUUUGGCAGGUUUCCUGUCGCUGCCAUCUGGAAAGUGGUUCAAACUUGAACAUUUAGAGGAAGUAAAAGUCGUAACAAGGUU